UUUAAUAUGGCAGAUUAGUGCAAUAGAUUUAAGCUCUAUAAAUGGAAUAAAUCCUAUUAAAA
rnacentral:tRNA from 1 species